CCUACGGGGCGCAGCAGUAGGGAAUUUUCGUCAAUGGGCGCAAGCCUGAACGAGCAAUGCCGCGUGAGUGAGGAAGGUCUUCGGAUCGUAAAGCUCUGUUGCAGGUCAGAAAAGAAGGAAAGAGGAAAUGCUUUUCUUUUGAUAGUAACCUGCCAGAAAGUCACGGCUAACUACGUGCCAGCAGCCGCGGUAAUACGUAGGUGGCAAGCGUUAUCCGGAAUGAUUGGGCGUAAAGGGUGCGUAGGCGGCCUGCUAAGUCUGGAGUGAAAGGCACCGGCUCAACCGGUACAGGCUCUGGAAACUGG
rnacentral:rRNA from 1 species